rnacentral:tRNA from 1 species
GGUGGGUUAACCAAGCGGUUAGGUAACGGUCUGCAAAACCGUUUAGAUGAGUUCGACUCUCAUACCCACCU